UGUUCCAUAGUGUAGCGGUUAGCACAUCUGCUUUAUGUACAGAAAGUCCUGGGUUCAUGCCCUAGUGGAGCUG
rnacentral:tRNA from 1 species